UACGUAGGGUGCAAGCGUUGUCCGGAAUUAUUGGGCGUAAAGAGCUCGUAGGCGGUCUGUCGCGUCUGCUGUGAAAUCUGGGGGCUCAACCCCCAGCCUGCAGUGGGUACGGGCAGACUAGAGUGCGGUAGGGGAGAUUGGAACUCCUGGUGUAGCGGUGGAAUGCGCAGAUAUCAGGAGGAACACCGGUGGCGAAGGCGGGUCUCUGGGCAGUAACUGACGCUGAGGAGCGAAAGCGUGGGGAGCGAACAGG
rnacentral:rRNA from 1 species